rnacentral:rRNA from 1 species
UACGUAGGGUGCAAGCGUUGUCCGGAAUUAUUGGGCGUAAAGAGCUCGUAGGCGGCUCGUCGCGUCUGCUGUGAAAGCCCGGGGCUUAACCCCGGGUCUGCAGUGGGUACGGGCGGGCUAGAGUGCGGUAGGGGAGACUGGGAUUCCUGGUGUAGCGGUGAAAUGCGCAGAUAUCAGGAGGAACACCGGUGGCGAAGGCAGAUCUCUGGGCCGUAACUGACGCUGAGGAGCGAAAGCAUGGGGAGCGAACAGG